GACGAACGCUGGCGGCGUGCUUAACACAUGCAAGUCGAACGGAAAGGCCCUGCUUUUGUGGGGUGCUCGAGUGGCGAACGGGUGAGUAACAAGUGAGUAACCUGCCCUUGACUUUGGGAUAACUUCAGGAAACUGGGGCUAAUACCGGAUAGGAGCUCCUGCUGCAUGGUGGGGGUUGGAAAGUUUCGGCGGUUGGGGAUGGACUCGCGGCUUAUCAGCUUGUUGGUGGGGUAGUGGCUUACCAAGGCUUUGACGGGUAGCCGGCCUGAGAGGGUGACCGGCCACAUUGGGACUGAGAUACGGCCCAGACUCCUACGGGAGGCAGCAGUGGGGAAUAUUGCACAAUGGGCGGAAGCCUGAUGCAGCAACGCCGCGUGCGGGAUGACGGCCUUCGGGUUGUAAACCGCUUUCGCCUGUGACUAAGCGUGAGUGACGGUAAUAGGUAGAGAAGCACCGGCUAACUACGUG
rnacentral:rRNA from 1 species